GGACCGCCCAAAAACAUCCACUAAUCACCAAGAAUAGCAUGAUACACAAAGUAUUCUUCUCUAGUCACACACUAGAGGCUCAACAUCAUCAUUACAAUAAUCAUAUUCUCACCACAUAGGUAGACAAACAAGUUAGAAGCAAGAAAACCUUAACCGCAACUGGAGAAUUUGGGGAUGGUUCUCGACGAACAAAAAUCAUCAACUUGUAGCCCUCGAUCUCACGAACAACAUACUGAAAUUUGAGCCGAUUCUGUCAACAUUUGGCCUUUGAAUCAAAGCCGCAAAGUUGCAGCCCUCUUCCUUUCUUCUCUUCUCCCUUGCUUGCAGUUUUCUAUUUCUCUCUCCUCCCUUUUCUUUUUCAACAGAUGUACACCACUACGCACGACACUCCACUUCUUUUUGUUUUGCUUUGUCUUCCUUUUUUUUAUUUUUUUUAUUUAAUGUUGGCUGGGCCUCACAUGAAGAUGGACCCAGCCAACAAAU
rnacentral:lncRNA from 1 species